rnacentral:sRNA from 1 species
AUUUUGCGUUAGGGAUAGCAGUGUAAAUCCCGAAGUCGUACUAAUGCGACAAGGAUUGUAACGAAUAGCCCGCCCGAAC